UACAGAGGUCUCCAGCGUUGUUCGGAUUCAUUGGGCGUAACGGGUGCGUAGGCGGCGCGGUAAGUCGGGUGUGAAAUCUUGGAGCUUAACUCCGAAACUGCAUUCGAUACUGCCGUGCUUGAGGACUGGAGAGGAGACUGGAAUUUACGGUGUAGCGGUGAAAUGCGUAGAUAUCGUAAGGAAGACCAGUGGCGAAGGCGGGUCUCUGGACAGUUCCUGACGCUGAGGCACGAAGGCCAGGGGAGUAAACGGG
rnacentral:rRNA from 1 species